ACUCAAAGGAAUAGACGGGGGCCCGCACAAGCGGUGGAGUAUGUGGCUUAAUUCGAUGCAACGCGAAGAACCUUACCUGGGCUUGACAUGCAUCUCUAAGUCGGUGAAAGCCGGCGAGUCCCGCAAGGGACGAUUUGCACAGGUGCUGCAUGGCUGUCGUCAGCUCGUGUCGUGAGAUGUUGGGUUAAGUCCCGCAACGAGCGCAACCCUUGUGGCCUGUUGCUAACCGCCUUUUGGCGGUGCACUCUGGCCAGACUGCCCUGUGAAACGGGGAGGAAGGUGAGGAUGACGUCAAGUCAGCAUGGCCCUUACGCCCAGGGCUGCACACGUACUACAAUGCACAGUACAGAAGGAGCCGAGACCGCGAGGUGGAGGAAAUCACGAAAACUGUGCCCAAUUCGGAUCGCAGGCUGCAACUCGCCUGCGUGAAGCCGGAAUCGCUAGUAAUGGCGCAUCAGCUACGGCGCCGUGAAUACGUUCCCGGGCCUUGCACACACCGCCCGU
rnacentral:rRNA from 1 species